rnacentral:rRNA from 1 species
GAUCAUGGCUCAGGAUGAACGCUGGCGGCGUGCCUAACACAUGCAAGUCGAGCGUGAACCCUUAGAAUGAAACUCGGUCGAAUGAAGAGGGGGAAAGCGGCGGACGGGUGAGUAACGCGUAGGCAACCUGCCCCGUACAGAGGGAUAGCCUCGGGAAACCGGGAUUAAAACCUCAUAAUACCAUGGUAUCACAUGAUGCAAUGGUCAAAGAUUUAUCGGUAUGGGAUGGGCCUGCGUCUGAUUAGCUGGUUGGUGGGGUAACGGCCUACCAAGGCAACGAUCAGUAGCCGACCUGAGAGGGUAAUCGGCCACAUUGGAACUGAGACACGGUCCAAACUCCUACGGGAGGCAGCAGUGGGGAAUAUUGCACAAUGGGCGAAAGCCUGAUGCAGCAACGCCGCGUGAGCGAAGAAGGCCUUUGGGUCGUAAAGCUCUGUCGGGAAGGAAGAUAAUGACGGUACUUCCCGAGGAAGCCCCGGCUAACUACGUGCCAGCAGCAGC